ensembl:lncRNA disintegrin and metalloproteinase domain-containing protein 12-like
CAGUAUGCAUCCCUGCUUUGUUUGGAUGGGAAACAAGAGUUCAGGACAGUCCAUUUGAUCAUUUACCCUGACUUUACUUUAAAAUACAUUGAUUGGUGUAAACAUCUGAACCUCCUGUUUUUUUUGUCCCAGAUUCACUGCUACUAUCAUGGCGAGGUGGAGGGUCACCCGGGGUCAGAGGUCAGCCUCAGCACCUGCACAGGACUCAGGGGACUGAUUUCACUUGAACAUGAAGUGUAUGUACUGGAGCCGAUGGAAGAGGGAAACACACACCGUCUUUACAGAGGAGAACAUCUUAAACUCACCCAGGGAACCUGCGGACACGGUCACAACAUUUCAUACCCUACAGAGAUGAUGAACACUACUGGACAUAAAAGAGACGCUCAGAGCAGCACCAAGCAUGUGGAGUUGAUCAUCGUCGCAGACAACCGCGAGUAUCAGAAACAGGGGAAAGACGUGGAGAAAGUGAAACAGAGGCUUGCUGAAAUAGCGAACUACGUGGACAAGUUUUACAGAUCGCUGAAUAUCCGUGUGGCUCUGGUGGGGCUGGAGGUGUGGAGUGACGGAGACAAAUGCUCCAUCACACAGGAUCCGUUCACAUCGCUCCACGAGUUCCUGGACUGGAGAAAAGUCAAGCUGCUCCCGCAGAGACCCCAUGAUAACGCUCAGCUCAUCAGUGGCGUUUACUUCCAGGGCACCACCAUCGGCAUGGCUCCCAUUAUGAGCAUGUGCACUGCGGAACAGUCAGGGGGCAUCGUCAUGGAUCACUCUGAUAACCCUCUCGGCGCUGCGGUUACUUUGGCCCAUGAGCUCGGACACAACUUCGGCAUGAACCACGACACACCGGAGCGCGGCUGCGGCUGCAGAGCCACCAUGGACCGCGGCGGGUGUAUCAUGACCCCCUCCACUGGGUAUCCUUUCCCUACAGUCUUCAGUACGUGCAGUAAGAAGGAUCUUGCGGCGAGUUUGGAGAAAGGUGUGGGCAUGUGUUUGUUCAACAUGCCAGAGGUGAAGGUGCUCUACGGAGGCCAGAAAUGUGGAAAUGGAUACGUCGAGGAGGGAGAGCAGUGUGAUUGCGGAGAUGUGGAGGAGUGUCUGAAUCCCUGCUGUAAUGCCAGUACAUGCACACUGAAGGACGAAGCCGUAUGUGCGCAUGGACAGUGUUGUGAAGACUGUCAGUUGAAGCCUGCAGGGACUCGGUGCCGUGAGUCCAGUAACUCCUGUGAUCUGCCGGAGUUUUGCACGGGUGCCGAUCCUCACUGUCCCGCUAAUGUCUACCUGCACGACGGACACACCUGUCAGGGUGUGGAUGGACACUGUUACAACGGCAUCUGCCAGACACACGAGCAGCAGUGCAUCACACUGUGGGGACAGGGUGCAAAACCAGCUCCAGGUAUCUGUUUCGAAAGAGUCAACUCGGCGGGAGAUCCGUAUGGAAACUGUGGAAAAGAUUCAAAGGAAUCAUUUGCCAAAUGUGAAGCGCGAGAUGCUAAAUGUGGGAAGAUCCAGUGUCAGGGCGGAGCCAAUCGGCCAGUGAUUGGCACCAAUGCCGUCUCCAUAGAAACCAAUAUCCCGCUCCAGGAAGGAGGCCGUAUCCUCUGCCGCGGGACUCAUGUGUACCUGGGAGACGACAUGCCGGAUCCGGGCCUCGUGCUCACCGGCACCAAGUGUGGAGAAAACAUGAUGUGUAUAAACAGACAGUGUCAGAACAUCAGUGUGCUCGGGGUUCACGACUGUUCGGCCAAGUGCAGCGGACACGGGGUUUGUAAUAAUAAUAAGAACUGUCACUGUGAGUCACUCUGGGCUCCUCCGUUCUGUGAUAAAGCUGGGUUUGGAGGCAGUAUGGACAGCGGCCCGAUGAGACCAACAGGUAUUAAACAUGUAUCCGUGAUUAUUAUUAUACUCAGUGUGACGGUGGGCAUCCUGGUGGCGUUUCUGUGUCUGCUGUGUGUUGGAAUAAUCCCCCAGUCUCCUCUCCAGACGGUGGACUCUGUGGUCCCGUCUCAUGGUCUCCGCCGGCUGCCCCCGUGCCCUCCGGUCCACCUCUCUCACCCGCUGCCGCUGGCACUUGGCCUUCCACUGACACCACCACACACACACUCGUCUCCACCCAGAGCCCCUCCACCAGCACUCACACACACAUACACAUCCGCUCCAGCAGUGGGAACGGCCGGCCGUGGCCUGGCCUGCCAGAAUGUCUGCAAGAUCGCCAUGGUGAGUGGAAAUAUGCCAGCGCUGUAG